UGAUGUUCCUUCGGGUCAGGGUU
rnacentral:piRNA from 1 species